rnacentral:rRNA from 1 species
CCUACGGGCGGCAGCAGUGAGGAAUAUUGGUCAAUGGACGAGAGUCUGAACCAGCCAAGUAGCGUGAAGGAUGACUGCCCUAUGGGUUGUAAACUUCUUUUAUAUGGGAAUAAAACGUUCCACGUGUGGGAUUUUGUAUGUACCAUAUGAAUAAGGAUCGGCUAACUCCGUGCCAGCAGCCGCGGUAAUACGGAGGAACCGAGCGUUAGCCGGAUUUAUUGGGUUUAAAGGGAGCGUAGGUGGGUUGUUAAGUGAGUUGUGAAAGUUUGCGGCUCAACCGUAAAAUUGCAGUUGAAACUGGCAGUCUUGAGUACAGUAGAGGUCGGCGGAAUUCGUGGUGUAGCGGUGAAAUGCUUAGAUAUCACGAAGAACUCCGAUUGCGAAGGCAGUUCACUAGACUGCAACUGACACUGAGGCUCGAAAGUGUGGGUAUCAAACAGGAUUAGAUACCCGUGUAGUC